rnacentral:misc_RNA from 1 species
GUUGUUCAAAUGGUAACUGAACUUGUUGACUUGUUGCAACUUUGAGCUUGCAGUUCACAUAUUUUUGGUAUCAAGUGACUAAAAUCACAUAUAUGCGAAACAACUUUAGUUGGGUCAACCUUUUUGCUAUCUUUGUUGACAUGUCUCAUUUUUUCAUCAAUGCAAAAACAUGAUAUUUAGAUGGGCUUGGAUGAAUCCUCUGUUAUGGAAAG